AGACACAAGGAAAUUAUAAAACUGGAGACCAGACUGGAAGAUUUCUUGCCACAGUGACACUUCAACUGCACACAGAAGGCUUGAGUGAGCUACUGAGAAGACAGAGAUGAUAAAAAGUAUCUAGCAAGAAGUUGCUAGCUUAUCUCUGCAGGCAAGAUAUUUCUGAAAGGGAGACAGGAGAUUUCUGCCUUCAACCAUUCAUCUGUGUCCAACUCCCAGACUGAAAGGAGCUGUGUAAUGAAUGCAAAGAAGCUCCCUUGUACCAGCUUUGGGGCACACUGCCCGGAUGGAAAUGAGGUGGUGGUGGCUCCUGGGAUUCAGAAUUUCCAUGCUGGUCUUUUCCUCAGUGGCCCAACCAUCCCCAGCCAGGUGUGGAAGGGGACAUCAGAGAAGGCCCAUCCCACCUGCAAAAUCCAGAGGUGAAACAUACUUUGGACCACGAGAAGAAAGAAUUUUAAAACUUCAAACUUAAGCUUAGAUCUGCUCAGGAUUUUACAGCUCCAUCAGGAUUUUACAGCUCCAUGAAAGCGUGCUUGUGUGACUGCCAAAAUCCUUCACCGUGAAAAAUACGCCUUGUGAUUUCUUCACCAAACUGGAAGCACAGCACACACAGGUGCUAUACAGCUGUUCAUGAUGGAUCUCUUGCUUGCUGACUUGAUUUCCACUGGUGUUAACUCAACACAACACUGUAAACUUCUCUGGAUGAUUAGAAAACAUUCCUCUGAAGUAUGUGAACAAACAUGAGCUACAAGCGCUGUGCUGGAGAUUAUUUUAUAAAUGUAACGUCUCUGCAGUGGGACAAUAUAACUCUGCUAUUUUUUCUUCUGAGAGCUGCCUGGAUUUUAACAGUUAGUUGCAAUCAUAUUAAACAUCUCCCUGCCAUUUUUUUUUAGCAGGAAGCAUGAUUCUUUUCUCUUGGAAGGAGCUAGACCAAUUUGUGUGCUCUAUCAUCCAUAAGUAACUGUAAGAACUGAUCUGAAUUCAGUGUUUAUUUUCAGGUAGUGCAGUGUGGUAAUCUGAGAGAAUAAACUCAUUGCAAGCCUUCCA
rnacentral:lncRNA from 1 species